AUUGAACGCUGGCGGCAGGCCUAACACAUGCAAGUCGAACGGUAACAGGAAGCAGCUUGCUGCUUCGCUGACGAGUGGCGGACGGGUGAGUAAUGUCUGGGAAGCUGCCUGAUGGAGGGGGAUAACUACUGGAAACGGUAGCUAAUACCGCAUAAUGUCGCAAGACCAAAGAGGGGGACCUUCGGGCCUCUUGCCAUCGGAUGUGCCCAGAUGGGAUUAGCUUGUUGGUGGGGUAACGGCUCACCAAGGCGACGAUCCCUAGCUGGUCUGAGAGGAUGACCAGCCACACUGGAACUGAGACACGGUCCAGACUCCUACAGGAGGCAGCAGUGGGGAAUAUUGCACAAUGGGCGCAAGCCGGAUGCAGCCAUGCCGCGUGUAUGAAGAAGGCCUUCGGGUUGUAAAGUACUUUCAGCGGGGAGGAAGGGAGUAAAGUUAAUACCUUUGCUCAUUGACGUUACCCGCAGAAGAAGCACCGGCUAACUCCGUG
rnacentral:rRNA from 1 species